GUGCCUUCGUCAUAAAUACAGAACAGUUUUCCAAUUGAUAACUCUGCAAUGUGAUGUCCCUAAAACAAAUGUACCUGUGAGACUUUAUUUGUUGACAUUUACUGGUGAACGAGUCCUACCGGAAGUUAUUGCGGCUAAUUGAGACGAAGACGGCAUACAUAUUAUAUCAGAAUAUACAUACUGAAGGUGACAUAGAGUCAUUGCAGUUAGAGGUAAUUGCAAGUACUGAGGAAUCCUCAACAUCACUUGAGUUCAAAGAGUUUAAGAAAACUUAUGAUGAGCUGAAGGGAGCCUUUGGUCGAUUCAAAGAGGAACACUUAAUGAGAGAAG